AAUAGAUACCCUGGUAGUCCACGCCGUAAACGAUGGAUACUAGCUGUUGGGCGCAAGUUCAGUGGCUAAGCGAAAGUGAUAAGUAUCCCACCUGGGGAGUACGUUCGCAAGAAUGAAACUCAAAGGAAUUGACGGGGGCCCGCACAAGCGGUGGAGCAUGUGGUUUAAUUCGAUGAUACGCGAGGAACCUUACCAAGGCUUAAAUGUAGAUUGACCGGUUUGGAAACAGAUCUUUCGCAAGACAAUUUACAAGGUGCUGCAUGGUUGUCGUCAGCUCGUGCCGUGAGGUGUCAGGUUAAGUCCUAUAACGAGCGCAACCCCUGUUGUUAGUUGCCAGCGAGUCAAGUCGGGAACUCUAACAAGACUGCCAGUGCAAACUGUGAGGAAGGUGGGGAUGACGUCAAAUCAUCACGGCCCUUACGCCUUGGGCUACACACGUGCUACAAUGGCCGGUACAGAGAGCAGCCACUGGGUGACCAGGAGCGAAUCUAUAAAACCGGUCACAGUUCGGAUCGGAGU
rnacentral:rRNA from 1 species